UACGUAGGGGGCAAGCGUUGUCCGGAAUCAUUGGGCGUAAAGCGCGUGUAGGCGGUCCGGUAAGUCCGCUGUGAAAGUCGGGGGCUCAACCCUCGAAUGCCGGUGGAUACUGUCGGGCUAGAGUGCGGAAGAGGCGAGUGGAAUUCCUGGUGUAGCGGUGAAAUGCGUAGAUAUUGGGAGGAACACCAGUGGCGAAGGCGGCUCGCUGGACCGGAACUGACGCUGAGGCGCGAAAGCGUGGGGAGCAAACAGG
rnacentral:rRNA from 1 species